rnacentral:rRNA from 1 species
AUAAUGGGUCAGCGACUUAUAUUCUGUAGCAAGGUUAACCGAAUAGGGGAGCCGAAGGGAAACCGAGUCUUAACUGGGCGUUAAGUUGCAGGGUAUAGACCCGAAACCCGGUGAUCUAGCCAUGGGCAGGUUGAAGGUUGGGUAACACUAACUGGAGGACCGAACCGACUAAUGUUGAAAAAUUAGCGGAUGACUUGUGGCUGGGGGUGAAAGGCCAAUCAAACCGGGAGAUAGCUGGUUCUCCCCGAAAGCUAUUUAGGUAGCGCCUCGUGAAUUCAUCUCCGGGGGUAGAGCACUGUUUCGGCAAGGGGGUCAUCCCGACUUACCAACCCGAUGCAAACUGCGAAUACCGGAGAAUGUUAUCACGGGAGACACACGGCGGGUGCUAACGUCCGUCGUGAAGAGGGAAACAACCCAGACCGCCAGCUAAGGUCCCAAAGUCAUGGUUAAGUGGGAAACGAUGUGGGAAGGCCCAGACAGCCAGGAUGUUGGCUUAGAAGCAGCCAUCAUUUAAAGAAAGCGUAAUAGCUC